rnacentral:rRNA from 1 species
CAGCCGCCGCGGGAAUACGAAGGGUGCAAGCGUUAAUCGGAAUUACUGGGCGUAAAGCGUGCGCAGGCGGUUUGUUAAGUUGGAUGUGAAAUCCCCGGGCUCAACCUGGGAACUGCAUUCAAAACUGACAGACUAGAGUAUGGUAGAGGGUGGUGGAAUUUCCUGUGUAGCGGUGAAAUGCGUAGAUAUGCGGAGGAACACCGAUGGCGAAGGCAGCCCCCUGGGCCAACACUGACGCUCAUGCACGAAAGCGUGGGGAGCAAACAGGAUUAGAUACCCCGGUAGUCCCUGUCUCUUAUAC